rfam:Angiostrongylus cantonensis strain Taiwan genome assembly, scaffold: ACAC_scaffold0001835
CAAACGGCCCUUUUUAGGGCCACAAUCGCAUUCGACUACAUGACUU